AUGAACGCUAGCGGGAGGCCUAACACAUGCAAGCCGAGCGGUAGAGAUCUUUCGGGAUCUUGAGGGCGGCGUACGGGUGCGGAACACGUGUGCAACCUGCCUUUAUCUGGGAGAUAGCCUUUCGAAAGGAAGAUUAAUACCCCAUAAUAUAUGAUUCGGCAUCGGAUUCUAUUGAAAGCUCCGGCGGAUAGAGAUGGGCACGCGCAAGAUUAGAUAGUUGGUGAGGUAACGGCUCACCAAGUCAGUGAUCUUUAGGGGGCCUGAGAGGGUGAUCCCCCACACUGGUACUGAGACACGGACCAGACUCCUACGGGAGGCAGCAGUGAGGAAUAUUGGACAAUGGGUGAGAGCCUGAUCCAGCCAUCCCGCGUGAAGGACGACGGCCCUAUGGGUUGUAAACUUCUUUUGUAUAGGGAUAAACCUACCCUCGUGAGGGUAGCUGAAGGUACUAUACGAAUAAGCACCGGCUAACUCCGUGCCAGCCGCCGCCGUAA
rnacentral:rRNA from 1 species